UUUUUUUAUAGAUGAAAAUCCACCACCUAGAACUGUGAUAAGUAUCAUUGAAUGAAUUGCCGUGCUUGAUUUACGUCGAUUGAGUUAAAAUGUUUCUUAAAGACCAUGAAUCAAGAGAUCCCGUAACGUCUCGAAGGGGACCAACUGAAGACGAUUCGAUGCAAACGACACACCAUACAGAUUCUAGUCACAAUGAUUCUUCAAUCUCAGAAUGCUGAUUCUCCAUUGUUGGUUUACGUACCGACAGAAUGUCGAAGAAGCUGAAACCCCUAAUUCUCAAAAAUGACUAUCGUGAAUGGACCUUUAUCUCUUUAUUAGGCUUGACAAUACAUAUUUACAAUAAUAAGAUAACAACCACGAAGCCCGUUUGGAAUCUAAAGAAAGUAAUGAAUAUGUUAAUGAAUUGCCACGUGUCAUUCUCUCAUUUUCCUAUUUUCCGACAUGGCAGCCUCUAAAGAGAUAAUUCUCUUCUUUAUAUUAAUAUAUCAAACAAGUAAUAAAAAAGUAAUAUAAGCUCCAUUAAACCUAUCCACGUCAGCAUAAAAAAUCAGCCAAUGAGAAACUUGGUUUUUGCCACAUCACACCGGAUUUGGGUAGUGUUGAGCUGUUUUUUUUUUAUCCGUGAAGUGAAUUAUUUGGCCCAAAUUUCAUGUUAUCUUCUCUUCCAGAACUCAAUCUCUUCGCCUCCACUUUUCAGAGCUUCAUCUCUUCGCCUCCCAUUCGUAUCUCUUAAGCUUCCCUGUUUUAAUUAUGCCAUAAUUACUACUUCUGAUCUCUUAGAUUUUCGUCUUCGUCGCCGUCUUCAACCUCUUAACGAUCGGACCAACCACUUUCAGCGUUUUCCAAGUAUUCUAUUGACUACAGCUGAAACCGAUCUCCGCCAAAGUAAAAUCAGUGUCUCUCUUAAGCUAUGAAGAUUUGGGUCUUGAAGGAAUCAAACAAAGAGUUGAGUUUUUUUUUUUUUCAACUUUCGAUUCCUUAUUAUGUCAUCAUGAUUAGACUUAGCUAAGAUUUGUGCUUGAUCCGUAUUCCUACAAUGUUACCAUGACUGAAAACCUGGCGGCUGAGAAUGAAAGGAUGAAUGAUGUCGCAAAGAUCAAAGUUGUUAACAGAUGCCUAAGUAACUUUUAAAAAAAGUACUCAGCAAAAAACGAGGAAGACGUUGUUGACACAAAUUCCAAUUGCUUAACAGUUCAUGAAACCAAACUUAAGCUCAGUCUCUCAUGUUUUGGGUUGAGUUGACUAGCCUAUGUUGAAAAGCAUGAACCUGUGUUUGAUGCUGUGCUAAAUGAGGAAGUAUCAAAUGGUGAGGUGGCUGAUAUAUGAAAGACAUGAUCAACACUUAUCUGGAGUUUAUCGUGAGGCAGUGGAUCCCCUAAAUUUUCAGCGCAUUAAUGCCACUUGCUUGGCAUAUAGGCAGACAGGUAGUUGUAAAACCUAAACUAUGAAGGCUUUGCCUCUUUAAGUCUUCAAGGGAUUUCCUAAGUUCGGUGCACAAUGCAUACAAACCCAAUUGUUUGGUAUAAACCAUAUCGGUUCUUCUCCGGUAUGCGACUUAUCCUACAAAGCUGUGUUACCCGAAAUCCGAAAUGCGCAAGAGCGAUUUAACGUGUACCGCGUGGAUUAUAGUGGUCUUCUUCUGCUGGAAGUUCAGACACUAUGCCAACUGAGUAAAGAAAGAACUAAAGAAAGGUAUCAGAAGAGCAAGGAGUGCCAGAAAGUCAUUAUUUUGCUUCAGUUAAGAGUUCCAUACAAAUAAUAGUUUAGGAUCUUUUCUGGUUCCCUUUAUUCUCUAAAAACCCACUGCACAUGUACAUGUAGAAAAGGCAACUCCACAAAUGGUUACUCUAUCAAAUAUUGUAAUACUUUAACUCUCACAAACCUAUUAACGAUGAUUCUUAUAGAUAGAUCCAUUUUUA